rnacentral:misc_RNA from 1 species
AAGUCGUAACAAGGUUUCCGUAGGUGAACCUGCGGAAGGAUCAUUAACACAAAAAACAAUCCCAUAUUCACCCCUUUUUUAUAACGAACUAUGGUUUUUCUUUUUUUCGGAUUCGGACCUCUCUCUACUUAUCGCCAAGAUAAGGACAGAGACGACGGGGACGGAAAAAGAAACUCUCAUUUUCUCCUCUUUAUUACCCUCUUAUUUUUACCCCAAAACAACCAAUACCAAACAUGCGAUAGACUGAUAUUUAUUUAUCAACGAUAUAAUAAUCAAUGAUACAUAAAACAACUCUUAGCAACGGAUCUCUUGGUUCUG